ACGAACGCUGGCGGCUGCUUAACACAUGCAAGUCGAACGGAGUGGCGAACGGGUGAGUAACGCGUGAGCAACCUGCCUAUGACAGUGGGAAAGCCUCGGGAAACCGGGAUUAAUACCGCAUAGUCAUAGAUGGGCUCGCGUCUGAUUAGCUGGUUGGUGAGAUAACAGCCCACCAAGGCGACGAUCAGUAGCCGGUCUGAGAGGAUGAACGGCCACAUUUGAACUGAGACACGGUCCAAACUCCUACGGGAGGCAGCAGUGGGGAAUAUUGCACAAUGGGGGAAACCCUGAGGCAGCGACGCCGCGUGAACUAAGAAGGUAUUCGUAUCGUAAAGUUCUGUCCUAUGGGAAGCAGUACCAUAGAAGAAAGCUCCGGCUAAAUACGUGCCAGCAGCCGCGGUAAUUC
rnacentral:rRNA from 1 species